rnacentral:rRNA from 1 species
UACAGAGGUCCCAAGCGUUGUUCGGAAUUACUGGGCGUAAAGCGCGCGUAGGUGGUGUGUUAAGUCUGCCGGUCAAAUGCCGAGGCUCAACCUCGUUGCACGCCGGGGAUACUGGCACGCUAGAGACAAGUAGAGGCAAGCGGAAUUCCGGGUGUAGCGGUGGAAUGCGUAGAGAUCCGGAAGAACACCGGAGGCGAAGGCGGCUUGCUGGGCUUGGUCUGACGCUGAGGCGCGAAAGCGUGGGGAGCGAACAGG